rnacentral:rRNA from 1 species
CUGGUUGAUCCUGCCGGAGGUCACUGCUAUUGGGAUUCGACUAAGCCAUGCGAGUCGAGAGGGUUCGGCCCUCGGCUGACGGCUCAGUAACACGCGGAUAAUCUGCCCUUAGGUGGAGGAUAAUCUCGGGAAACUGAGAAUAAUACUCCAUAAGCCUAGGAUGCUGGAAUGCACUUAGGCUGAAAGCUUCGGUGCCCAAGGAUGAGUCUGCGGACUAUCAGGUUGUAGUCAGGGUAACGACCUGACUAGCCUACGACGGAUACGGGUUGUGAGAGCAAUAACCCGGAGAUGAUAUCUGAGACACGAUAUCAGGCCCUACGGGGCGCAGCAGGCGCGAAAACUUCGCAAUGUGCGAAAGCACGACGAGGGAAUCCCAAGUGCUGGCUCGUUAGAGUCAGCUGUUUUUAUGUCUAAAAAGCAUAGAGAGUAAGAGCUGGGUAAGACGGGUGCCAGCCGCCGCGGUAAUACCUGCAGCUCGAGUGGUGGCCGCUAUUAUUGGGCCUAAAACGUCCGUAGCCUGUUUACUAAAUGCCUAGGUAAAUUGUGUGGCUUAACCAUACGAAUUCUGGGUAGACUGGUAAAACUUGAGACCGGGAGAAGCUAGAGGUACUCCUGGGGUAGAGGUGAAAUUCUGUAAUCCUAGGGGGACCACCAGUGGCGAAGGCGUCUAGCUAGAACGGGUUUGACGGUGAGGGACGAAGCCCUGGGGCGCAAACGGGAUUAGAUACCCCGGUAGUCCAGGGUGUAAACGCUGCUUGCUUGAUGUUGGUUGGGCUCCGAGCCCAAUCAGUGUCGGAGAGAAGUUGUUAAGCAAGCUGCCUGGGAAGUACGGCCGCAAGACUGAAACUUAAAGGAAUUGGCGGGGGAGCACCGCAACG